rnacentral:rRNA from 1 species
UGGGGAAUUUUGGACAAUGGGCGAAAGCCUGAUCCAGCCAUGCCGCGUGAGUGAAGAAGGCCUUCGGGUUGUAAAGCUCUUUUAGUCGGAAAGAAAGAGUUGCAAUGAAUAAUUGUGAUUUAUGACGGUACCGAAAGAAAAAGCACCGGCUAACUACGUGCCAGCAGCCGCGGUAAUACGUAGGGUGCGAGCGUUAAUAGGAAUUACUGGGCGUAAAGGGUGCGCAGGCGGUCUUGCAAGUCAGAUGUGAAAGCCCCGGGCUUAACCUGGGAAUUGCGUUUGAAACUACAAGGCUAGAGUGCAGCAGAGGGGAGUGGAAUUCCAUGUGUAGCAGUGAAAUGCGUAGAGAUGUGGAAGAACACCGAUGGCGAAGGCAGCUCCCUGGGUUGACACUGACGCUCAUGCACGAAAGCGUGGGGAGCAAACA